UACGUAGGGGGCAAGCGUUGUCCGGAUUUAUUGGGCGUAAAGAGCGUGUAGGCGGCCAUACAGGUCCGUUGUGAAAACUGGAGGCUUAACCUCCAGACGUCGAUGGAAACCGUAUGACUAGAGUCCGGAAGAGGAGAGUGGAAUUCCUGGUGUAGCGGUGAAAUGCGCAGAUAUCGGGAAGAACACCAGUGGCGAAGGCGGCUCUCUGGGCCUUUCCUGACGCUGAGACGCGAAAGCGUGGGGAGCGAACCGG
rnacentral:rRNA from 1 species